rnacentral:lncRNA from 1 species
AUUCCCACCCCUAAUGACUAACUCUAAUCCCCUGGACCAUGGAGUCACAAUUCCUUCUGGGUAAUGCUCUAAACUGGCAGGAUCCCUUUGAGACAUUCCUGGAAAAGCAGAACAGUCCAUGACCAUCAGGAAGGCAUGCUGACUUCAGGCAAUCUGGCAAAAUACUGUGGGUGCCAGUGAGGUAAAAACAUUAUUAGCAGAGUCAAGACUUUCUCUCAUCAAGUAGCUCUGACCUACACUGUGGAUUCCUUUUGAGCAGCUAUGACGAAUACACAUUGUGUGGGUCUAGGUAUUAUAAGUGGAUUUAUGAUUUAUUUAGGGAAAUAAAUUUACAAAAGACAUUUAGAAGACCAGAGUUGGGAUUUUUGCCCAUAAAAAAUGAUGGGUCUAUAUGAGUCCUUAAAUAUCUACACAAUAAAGAGAUAUCUCUGCCAACCACAAAAAAAUAGGCUAGGCAGUACCCAGCUGCCUGGCCUAUUUUUUUGUGGUUGGUAGGGAUAUCAGUUUUAGCCUUUGUACUUAUAAGCACUCAUAAUAUUUUGCUUAAAUAAUAAAUUUUCAUGUGCAAUCACAAUAAUUUUAUACUAUAAAAAAUUGAAAAAGUCUUGAAUAUACAUAUUAAGUCACUGGAAAAUAAUGCAUCUUAUUUGGUAGGCUUAAUUUUUUAAAUUAAAAUUAAAUGUUCUUAAAAAUUUGUGGACCAUAUGCCUAAACUAAAUGAGAUAGUUAAUUUAAACUAAUGAAAGCUAUAUCUUCAAACAUAUUAAUAUUUC